UACGUAGAGUGCAAGCGUUGUCCGGAAUUAUUGGGCGUAAAGAGCUCGUAGGCGGUUUGUCGCGUCUGCUGUGAAAACUCGGGGCUUAACCCCGGGCCUGCAGUGGGUACGGGCAGACUAGAGUGCGGUAGGGGAGACUGGAAUUCCUGGUGUAGCGGUGAAAUGCGCAGAUAUCAGGAGGAACACCGGUGGCGAAGGCGGGUCUCUGGGCCGUAACUGACGCUGAGGAGCGAAAGCGUGGGGAGCGAACAGG
rnacentral:rRNA from 1 species